GAUGAACGCUGGCGGCGUGCCUAAUACAUGCAAGUCGAGCGAACGGACGAGAGGCUUGCUUCUCUGAUGUUAGCGGCGGACGGGUGAGUAACACGUGGAUAACCUACCUAUAAGACUGGGAUAACUUCGGGAAACCGGAGCUAAUACCGGAUAAUAUUUUGAACCGCAUGUUUCAAAAGUGAAAGACGGUCUUGCUGUCACUUAUAGAUGGAUCCGCGCUGCAUUAGCUAGUUGGUAAGGUAACGGCUUACCAAGGCAACGAUGCAUAGCCGACCUGAGAGGGUGAUCGGCCACACUGGAACUGAGACACGGUCCAGACUCCUACGGGAGGCAGCAGUAGGGAAUCUUCCGCAAUGGGCGAAAGCCUGACGGAGCAACGCCGCGUGAGUGAUGAAGGUCUUCGGAUCGUAAAACUCUGUUAUUAGGGAAGAACAUAUGUGUAAGUAACUGUGCACAUCUUGACGGUACCUAAUCAGAAAGCCACGGCUAACUACGUG
rnacentral:rRNA from 1 species